rnacentral:misc_RNA from 1 species
UGAUCUCAACAAUGUGCAUAUUCUUAAUAUAUAUAAUGCAAGCUUAAAAAGUUUCACUUGUUUUACCAAGCACCAUUGUGAAAAUAAAAGCAUUUAAUUCAUAAAGUCAAUUUAAUUAACAAAAUACUAUGGAAGGCACAAGAACCCAAUAUUCAUAUGUUCUAAACAUAAACAGCAAAUUUUCAAAACAGGGAUACCUGUCACUAGUUCUAAAGAC